rnacentral:rRNA from 1 species
CCUACGGGAGGCAGCAGUGGGGAAUAUUGGACAAUGGGGGGAACCCUGAUCCAGCCAUGCCGCGUGUGUGAAGAAGGCCCUCGGGUUGUAAAGCACUUUCAGUGAGGAAGAACGCCUGGUGGUUAAUACCCAUCAGGAAAGACAUCACUCACAGAAGAAGCACCGGCUAACUCCGUGCCAGCAGCCGCGGUAAUACGGAGGGGGCGAGCGUUAAUCGGAAUUACUGGGCGUAAAGCGCGCGUAGGUGGCUUGAUAAGCCGGUUGUGAAAGCCCCGGGCUCAACCUGGGAACGGCAUCCGGAACUGUCAAGCUAGAGUGCAGGAGAGGAAGGUAGAAUUCCCGGUGUAGCGGUGAAAUGCGUAGAGAUCGGGAGGAAUACCAGUGGCGAAGGCGGCCUUCUGGACUGACACUGACACUGAGGUGCGAAAGCGUGGGUAGCAAACAGGAUUAGAUACCCUGGUAGUC